AAAUUGACGGGGGCCCGCACAAGCGGUGGAGCAUUGUGGUUUAAUUCGAAGCAACGCGAAGAACCUUACCAGGUCUUGACAUCCCGAUGCUAUUUCUAGAGAUAGAAAGUUACUUCGGUACAUCGGUGACAGGUGGUGCAUGGUUGUCGUCAGCUCGUGUCGUGAGAUGUUGGGUUAAGUCCCGCAACGAGCGCAACCCCUAUUGUUAGUUGCCAUCAUUCAGUUGGGCACUCUAGCGAGACUGCCGGUAAUAAACCGGAGGAAGUGGGGAUGACGUCAAAUCAUCAUGCCCCUUAUGACCUGGGCUACACACGUGCUACAAUGGUUGGUACAACGAGUUGCGAGUCGGUGACGGCGAGCUAAUCUCUUAAAGCCAAUCUCAGUUCGGAUUGUAGGCUGCAACUCGCCUACAUGAAGUCGGAAUCGCUAGUAAUCGCGGAUCAGCACGCCGCGGUGAAUACGUUCCCGGGCCUU
rnacentral:rRNA from 1 species